GAUGAACGCUGGCGGCGUGCCUAAUACAUGCAAGUCGAGCGAACGGACGAGAAGCUUGCUUCUCUGAUGUUAGCGGCGGACGGGUGAGUAACACGUGGAUAACCUACCUAUAAGACUGGGAUAACUUCGGGAAACCGGAGCUAAUACCGGAUAAUAUUUUGAACCGCAUGGUUCAAAAGUGAAAGACGGUCUUGCUGUCACUUAUAGAUGGAUCCGCGCUGCAUUAGCUAGUUGGUAAGGUAACGGCUUACCAAGGCGACUAUGCAUAGCCGACGUGUGAGGGUGGUCGGCGACCCUGGAGGUGGGACGGGGACCAGGGUCCUAAGAGAGGCAGCAGACUGGAACCGUCGGCAAUGGGGGAGAACAUGACGGAGCAGGGCCAAGUGAGAGAUGAAGGUGCUGGGAUCGUGAAACUCUGUUAUGAGGGAAGAACAUAUGUGUAAGGAGCCGUGCACAGAUUGACGGUACCGAGUAAGAAAGCCACGGCUAACUACGUG
rnacentral:rRNA from 1 species